CUUGUUCUGUGAUUUCAGAAGCGAAAAAAACAACAACUCUACGACACCGGAGAAGUUCCUGAUUUUAACAUUUCUGAAGGGAGCUGCUGACAGAGAUAUAGAAAACACAGAUUGUUUAUGUUCCUAGAUUCUUCCAUGCUGAUGGCCGUGCACUAGAGUUGGAGCGUAUCUCCUGUCGAAGGACAUCUCUAGACAUUAUGAACCAUAUGACUAAGUUUAGCUCCAACCCCAAUUAAGCGGACCUGAGCAGCUGAUCAAGGAUCACCAGAAACUCUGCAGAACGUUGGUCCUCCAUGCCCAGGACUGGACACCAGUGUUCUAAAUAAAACCAAAGGCUAUUCAGCCACAGGUCACUGCAUCUUUUGCUGUAUGCUGGAGAAAAGAAGAUCAGAGAUCAGGCAGAUAUCUACUGGUGCCCCUGAGGGAACCGAUUUAAUGUGUUAGUUAAACCAAAAAUUUUCAUCACUCC